rnacentral:ncRNA from 1 species
CAGAGUAGGAACAGCGCGUAAAGUGUUACAGGAUGGGAAGUUGCCUGUAAACGAAAGAUACCGGCCUAGGCCCAGGGUCUGCGGUGCUGUAUCCGCAUCCGCUGC